AAAGUAGCUCAGUAGGUAGAGCAGCUGAUUCGUAAUCAGCAGGUCGUGAGUUCGAGUCUCAUCUUUA
rnacentral:tRNA from 1 species